GAGGAAAAACAAAACAAACAACCCGCGGGGAAAAAAAAAUGUCAGGCGCAUUUUUAUUUUUCAGAACUGUGGAUAUCGGCUCGAUAUAUUUGGUGGCGGGUUCGGAUACAUGUUGAUUGAAUUUAAUUCCCUUGGCUGAAAUCCAUGAAGGCACGGGAUCUACAGAGCAACUGUAUUAGUGCAGUGAGAACAAGACAUCUCAGAACCAACAUACAGCUGACUGCAGCCCUUCAAGAAGUACUUUAAGACUCUGAUAUGGGAUUCACCAUUACCACAGCUUCAGAUUUGAGUCAUUGGAACGUGGCAUUUUUAAGACUGGAACAUGAAGAAAGCAAACAAUGCAGAGGAAGAAAAUUAUCCCCUUUGGUGAACCCUGCUGACAUAGUCUCUCAGAUACUCCCUGAUAAGCUAUCAACUGGAUUUUCCAAAUAGAGGGAAUGUGAUAUAUGGAAAGAUCUUAGAUGAGGACAAGGCACCUCGCGGCCUCCGCGGCCUCCCCGGUAGGAGAGGAAAUUGAAUAAUGAAUACAUGUUUUACUUUGAAUGAACAAACUCUGAAGUUUUUCGAUAAAAAAAAUUAAACUUAAUUUGUAACGUUUGCUAACCAAUUAGAAGGAUGUCAUUGUAGAAAAUUGAAAUGUGGUAAGUUUGCUGCUGUAUUAAGAAGUUUGUGAUAAUGUUAAACACACACACUAGGGAGAGAUUAUCGUGUUUUAUAUAAUUUUUAGUGCAAAUUUGGACAGUGGAGAGCGAUGCACAUUCCUGAGUUUUGCUAAUACUGCUGCAUAGAAGAGAGUAAAUGUAUGUAGUCUCUUCCAUAUCAAGAAUUAAACUCUGAUAUUAUUUUUUUAUUCAAGCACAAGAUGUUUACAACGCAUAUUAUUACACACGUGUACAGAGUGUAGCAGAGAAAAGAUGACUAUGUAUUUGUGAGUAUUUGUUAGUUAUAAUACCUGUCGUAUUAAUAUGUGGAGCCAAGUUUUUACGCACAGUUUUAUUCUUCUUUUCAAACGAAGUGACUUAAAAAAAAUCCUUCAGUGAUCCAGAUAAUUUGGCAGCAAUUUGUGAAAUAUAUUUUCAUGACUACCCCAUCCCUAAAAAGAAACCAAAUGUGGCCCAUUUCAUUAAAUAUGGAUAUGAUCCCUUGCUCGAAUGAAAACUACCAUGAAAACAGUGAACCUUCUGCUUCCUGAUUCGCUAGUUCAAUGAAAGUUGAUAUUUCAUCAAGAGUUGCUGUCAUAUUAAAUCUUUAUGAAAUGUAGCUCGCAUCAGCUUUUCACUAUUGUGUAUUGCCACCGAAAAAAAACUUGGUUUUGCAAAA